GUAAUAGUCUGGGAAGAGCUCGAUGGAGGGGGAUAACUACUGGAAACGGUAGCUAAUACCGCAUAACGUCGCAAGACCAAAGAGGGGGACCUUAGGGCCUCUUGCCAUCGGAUGUGCCCAGAUGGGAUUAGCUAGUAGGUGGGGUAAUGGCUCACCUAGGCGACGAUCCCUAGCUGGUCUGAGAGGAUGACCAGCCACACUGGAACUGAGACACGGUCCAG
rnacentral:rRNA from 1 species